rnacentral:tRNA from 1 species
AGGCAUGGAACUCAGUAGUAGAGAACAUGCUUUACAUGCAUGAAGCCCUGGGUUCAAUCCCUAGCACCUCCA